rnacentral:rRNA from 1 species
UACGUAGGGUGCGAGCGUUAAUCGGAUUUACUGGGCGUAAAGCGUGCGCAGGCGGCCCGUUAAGACAGGUGUGAAAUCCCUGGGCUCAACCUAGGAAUUGCGCUUGUGACUGGCGGGCUCGAGUACGGUAGAGGGGAGUGGAAUUCCCGGUGUAGCAGUGAAAUGCGUAGAGAUCAGGAGGAACACCGAUGGCGAAGGCAGCCCCCUGGGCCUGUACUGACGCUCAUGCACGAAAGCGUGGGGAGCAAACAGG